GAUCAUGGCUAAAACAGGAUGAACGCUAGCUACAGGCUUAACACAUGCAAGUCGAGGGGAAACGAUAUUGGAAGCUUGCUUCCGAUAGGCGUCGACCGGCGCACGGGUGAGUAACGCGUAUCCAACCUGCCCAUCACUUGGGAAUAACCUUGCGAAAGUAAGACUAAUGCCCAAUGACAUUUAUAGAAGGCAUCUGAAAUGAAUUAAAGAUUUAUCGGUGAUGGAUGGGGAUGCGU
rnacentral:rRNA from 1 species